UCUGAUUACAUUGACAUCUACCGACUGAAUGCAAAUUGGAGUUAUGCCAACAUUAUAAGCAGUUUAUCCGUCUAGGAAACAUGAAUGCAAGAAGUAUUACCGUCGUUUUAGCAGCAGCAGCAUCACUUAUAGGCAUAUCUGAACAGUCCCAUUUUAGAGGAGGUGUGAUCAGUUGGUCACCUGGAUCAUCUCCGAACGAAAUUAUCAUUGACUUCCGGUUUUCGUGGCGGCGAAGUUUCGAC